GAUGAACGCUGGCGGCGUGCCUAAUACAUGCAAGUCGAGCGAACAGAUGAGGAGCUUGCUCCUCUGACGUUAGCGGCGGACGGGUGAGUAACACGUGGAUAACCUACCUAUAAGACUGGGAUAACUUCGGGAAACCGGAGCUAAUACCGGAUAAUAUAUUGAACCGCAUGGUUCAAUAGUGAAAGACGGUUUUGCUGUCACUUAUAGAUGGAUCCGCGCCGCAUUAGCUAGUUGGUAAGGUAACGGCUUACCAAGGCAACGAUGCGUAGCCGACCUGAGAGGGGGGGCGGCCACACUGGAACUGAGACACGGACCAGACUCCUACGGGAGGCAGCAGUAGGGAAUCUUCCGCAAUGGGCGAAAGCCUGACGGAGCAACGCUGCGUGAGUGAUGAAGGUCUUCGGAUCGUAAAACUCUGUUAUUAGAGAAGAACAAAUGUGUAAGUCACUAUGCACGUCUUGACGGUACCUAAUCAGAAAGCCACGGCUAACUACGUG
rnacentral:rRNA from 1 species